rnacentral:rRNA from 1 species
CAUUUCUUUUAACAAUAUUAGAGGUAGGGCCUGCCCACUGAUUUAUUAAAGGGCCGCAGUAUUUUAACUGUGCAAAGGUAGCAUAAUCAUUAGCUUCUUAAUUAGGAGAUAGAAUGAAUGGCUUAACAAUUUAUUUUUUUAUUUUUUAUGAUUAUUGAAUUUGAAUUUAAAGUGAGAAUGCUUUAUUUUUUAUAAUAGACGAUAAGACCCUAUAGAUCUUUAUUAUUUUAUUAAUAAGAUCUUAAGUAAAAUAGUUUUGCUGGGGUAGUAUUAGAAUAAAUUUAAAUUUCUUUAUUUUCUUUUUAAUUUUUCUUUUUUUUUAGGAUUAAACUAGAUACCUUAGGGAUAACAGCGUAAUAUUCUUGAAGAGUUCUUAUCAAUAGGAUAUCUUGCGACCUCGAUGUUGAAUUAAGGUGUUUGGAUUGGGCAGUUUUAAUUUUUAUUAGUCUGUUCGACUACUAUGAUCUUACAUGAUUUGA